GGGUUUCCCCUGUACUGCGGACAGAGUCUCCCCUGUACAUUCAAGGCAUAGCAAUCAAUACAAUGUGCGAAGUUCCAACCAGGAACACAUUUCACUCAAGAUUGCAUAAUGGAAGGUAUCAACCAACAUAAACACAUCCUAUAUUAUUACAUUCAUUCACAUUAGAUUCAUUUUACAUCACAAUUACAAAAUACAUUCUUUUUAGCUUCCAAAUACAAUCUAGCUUUAACAUUAUUAUUACAACUUGAUCCUUUUCGUUUUCUUGCAUCCCUAA
rnacentral:lncRNA from 1 species